rnacentral:rRNA from 1 species
AUGUCCAGCCGCCCCUCCUCUCCUCACACAGAACGGCGCAGCUCCCACCUUGAAGACCGACCGGCAGGGAGGACGGCGGCAGACGGCCGCGCGACGCGACCCCAUCCAGGCGGCGGGCAGGAACCACCGGCAAGCUGGAGCAUCUACCGUCGACCAGCUAGCCACCAAGCUCCAGCGGCAUCCAUCUGCCGCAAGUCUCUUCAGUUUCUUCAGAUGGAUGAUCAAGGCAGGAUGAUAGACUUUGGUGUUGAAGGCCAUGAGUUCAGUCAAAGGACUACAAUACCUUGUCCAAAUAUUGGUCACCAUCAGGACAAUGGACUUGAUGACCUGGAGUUUACUCAAGGAGCUACAGGACAUCAAACAAAUAUUGGUCAGGGCAAUGGACUUGAUGACUUGGAGUUCAGUCAGAGGAUCAUAGGACGCCGUCCUAAUUUUGGUACGCUGCAGCGUUGUGAUGACCUCGACUUUGACCAAAGGAGUGCAAGGCAGCAUGAGGAUAGUGUUUCAAAGUCCAGAAAGAGUCUUCCUAGAGCCAAGUGGAGUCACCAAAUGAAGAUCCUUCCCAGCCAGGAUGCACAUGCACAAACCUCAAAUCAAAGUCACAUGCAACCAUAA